AUUGAACGCUGGCGGCAUGCCUUACACAUGCAAGUCGAACGGUAACGCGGGGCAACCUGGCGACGAGUGGCGAACGGGUGAGUAAUGCAUCGGAACGUGCCCAGUUGUGGGGGAUAACUGCUCGAAAGAGCAGCUAAUACCGCAUACGACCUGAGGGUGAAAGCGGGGGAUCGCAAGACCUCGCGCAAUUGGAGCGGCCGAUGUCGGAUAGCUAGUUGGUGGGGUAAAGGCCCACCAAGGCGACGAUCCGUAGCUGGUCUGAGAGGACGACCAGCCACACUGGGACUGAGACACGGCCCAGACUCCUACGGGAGGCAGCAGUGGGGAAUUUUGGACAAUGGACGCAAGUCUGAUCCAGCCAUGCCGCGUGCGGGAAGAAGGCCUUCGGGUUGUAAACCGCUUUUGUCAGGGAAGAAAUCUUCUGGGUUAAUACCUCGGGAGGAUGACGGCACCUGAAGAAUAAGCACCGGCUAACUACGUGCCAGCAGCCGCCGUAACAC
rnacentral:rRNA from 1 species